AUUGAACGCUGGCGGCAGGCUUAACACAUGCAAGUCGAGCGGGGGAGGUUGCUUCGGUAACUGACCUAGCGGCGGACGGGUGAGUAAUGCUUAGGAAUCUGCCUAUUAGUGGGGGACAACAUUCCGAAAGGGAUGCUAAUACCGCAUACGCCCUACGGGGGAAAGCAGGGGAUCUUCGGACCUUGCGCUAAUAGAUGAGCCUAAGUCGGAUUAGCUAGUUGGUAGGGUAAAGGCCUACCAAGGCGACGAUCUGUAGCGGGUCUGAGAGGAUGAUCCGCCACACUGGGACUGAGACACGGCCCAGACUCCUACGGGAGGCAGCAGUGGGGAAUAUUGGACAAUGGGCGGAAGCCUGAUCCAGCCAUGCCGCGUGUGUGAAGAAGGCCUUUUGGUUGUAAAGCACCUUAAGCGAGGAGGAGGCUCUUAAGGUUAAUACCCUUGAUGAGUGGACGUUACUCGCAGAAUAAGCACCGGCUAACUCUGUGCCAGCAGCCGCAGUAAAAC
rnacentral:rRNA from 1 species